AGAGUUUGAUCCUGGCUCAGAUUGAACGCUGGCGGCAUGCUUUACACAUGCAAGUCGAACGGUAACGCGGGGGCAACCCUGGCGACGAGUGGCGAACGGGUGAGUAAUACAUCGGAACAUAUCCAGUAGCGGGGGAUAACCUAUCGAAAGAUGGACUAAUACCGCAUACGAUCUACGGAUGAAAGCAGGGGACCGCAAGGCCUUGCACUAUUGGAGUGGCCGAUGUCGGAUUAGCUAGUUGGUGAGGUAAAGGCUUACCAAGGCGACGAUCCGUAGCUGGUCUGAGAGGACGAUCAGCCACACUGGAACUGAGACACGGUCCAGACUCCUACGGGAGGCAGCAGUGGGGAAUUUUGGACAAUGGGCGCAAGCCUGAUCCAGCCAUGCCGCGUGAGUGAAGAAGGCCUUCGGGUUGUAAAGCUCUUUCGGUGAAGACGAAACGGUUCGUGCUAAUAACGCGGACUAAUGACGGUACUCACAGAAGAAGCACCGGCUAACUACGUGCCAGCAGCCGCGGUAAUACGUAGGGUGCAGGCGUUAAUCGGAAUUACUGGGCGUAAAGCGUGCGCAGGCGGUUUGCUAGACAGGUGUGAAAUCCCCGGGCUUAACCUGGGAAUUGCGCUUGUAACUGGCAAGCUAGAGUGUAGCAGAGGGGGGUGGAAUUCCACGUGUAGCAGUGAAAUGCGUAGAUAUGUGGAGGAACACCGAUGGCGAAGGCAGCCCCCUGGGUUAACACUGACGCUCAUGCACGAAAGCGUGGGGAGCAAACAGGAUUAGAUACCCUGGUAGUCCACGCCCUAAACUAUGUCAACUAGUUGUCGGGGAAGAAAUUCCUUGGUAACGAAGCUAACGCGUGAAGUUGACCGCCUGGGGAGUACGGCCGCAAGGUUAAAACUCAAAGGAAUUGACGGGGACCCGCACAAGCGGUGGAUUAUGUGGAUUAAUUCGAUGCAACGCGAAAAACCUUACCUACCCUUGACAUGCUAGGAAGCCCGCAGAGAUGUGGGUGUGCCCGAAAGGGAACCUAGACACAGGUGCUGCAUGGCUGUCGUCAGCUCGUGUCGUGAGAUGUUGGGUUAAGUCCCGCAACGAGCGCAACCCUUGCCAUUAGUUGCUACAUUCAGUUGGGCACUCUAAUGGGACCGCCGGUGACAAACCGGAGGAAGGUGGGGAUGACGUCAAGUCCUCAUGGCCCUUAUGGGUAGGGCUUCACACGUAAUACAAUGGUCGGUACAGAGGGCUGCCAACCCGCAAGGGGGAGCUAAUCCCAGAAAGCCGAUCGUAGUCCGGAUUGUAGUCUGCAACUCGACUGCAUGAAGCCGGAAUCGCUAGUAAUCGCGGAUCAGCAUGUCGCGGUGAAUACGUUCCCGGGUCUUGUACACACCGCCCGUCACACCAUGGGAGUGGGUUCCACCAGAAGUAGUUAGCCUAACCGCAAGGAGGGCGAUUACCACGGUGAGAUUCAUGACUGGGGUGAAGUCGUAACAAGGUA
rnacentral:rRNA from 1 species